GUUAUGGGAUCAAGGACGUGUCAGGCUCUGCACUCAGCAUGGAGUCUGCUUGAGAUUCUCUCCCUCUCCCUCUGCCUCUACCAUCUCUCAAAUAAAUAAAUCUUUCCAAAAGACACUCUAGAAAAUAUAUAUUGCCAAAGGAUCACAGUAUUUUUAGUGGUGUUUAAAAAGAAGAAGGAAAGGAAGUGAGGAAGGAAGGAGGAACAGAAGGAAAAAGAAAACAAAAGAAGCUUUAAGCUAAGCACUGCUUUAAAAAAAUGUAUUUAAUGAUUAUAAAGAAAUUUGGGGAUAUCCCUAGCCUAAUAAUGACUUAUGCUGAUGUUUUAAGUGAAGGUUUUUAAAUUUUAUUUAUUUUUAAUUGAAUGUAUUUAACAUAUGUCAUUAGUAUCUAAGGUCAGUUUUAACAUCACUAGGGAAGAUUGAGAUAGGUUCUACAACUUUUAUUCACUAAGGUUAACUAAUAGCUUGUAGACCUCACCCUAAAUUCUGCCUUUCUUUGUGAUUAGUAAAUUACACAGAAUCUCCCAGAUACUUGACAUUUGUAUGACGAAUUCUAAAUUUUUCAUAUGCCACAAUUUUUGCUAAAGCUGUUCUUGAAUUCCCUUACCAUCUUUGCUCUUUAUUUUCAAUCUGACUCGGGCACUGCCUGUUAUCUUCUAAAACUUGAACCAGAAAGCUUGAGCUGUUCACCAUUUUGGGCUUAGUGUUGAAAACAAUUUAAGUUACUGUCCCCAAAUUCUUAAUCUCUAAUAGAAAUUUUUAAAAUAUAUAAAGAUUUUAGCUUCAGUUUUUCCAAGAUGAUUUUGGCUGUUUUGUUUUCUGGCUAUUUUGCAAUGAAAAAUUACAUGUGCCAGUUAUUUAUUAAUUCACUAUAUUGAAUGGGAUAUUCAAAGUAAAUCAUUACACUUACCGUAUUAAGUCACGUGAAUUUUUAUGCCAUCUUUAGUUACAUGCUCACUAAGAAAUGCUAAAAGGAGCCUCUGCAUGUCCUUAAUGGGGCACCCCAGGUGAGAACUAAGCAGUGAAUGGACAGGAAAAAAGAAAAAAUGUAAAAUAACCUUGAGUCAUGAUCUCAGGUUAUCACACUGAUUAGCCUUGUAGGUAGACAUUUAUUUAUCUGAAUAAGAAAUAAUUGAAACUAAUUGCACUUAUUUAAGUAUUGUGGUCAGGAUUCACGUGCUGGUGUUACAAAGUCAUUGGUUAGAUCUUUAAUCUCUGCCUUUGAUGGUCUUUGAUGGUAGUCUUAAAAACUAGCACAAUUUAUGCCUCGGUUUUUGAAAAUUGGGGUGCGGCAAAUACAGUCAACAAAAGAUUCAGGAGAUAUGAGGUCCAAUAUAAGGUAUGAGGAAGAUUUAGUUACUAGAGAAAGAACCUCAUCAUGAUGUUUGAGAAAAGCUUUAGAGUUAGGCUGAGGGAGAGUGUCUGAUAGCCCUGUGAGGAAAAUCUACAAAUAUUUAUCCAUUUUGCUAGGUAGUUUUAAGAGCUACUAUUUACCUGUACUUUCCUGAAUUUUCAUCUUAAUUCACUGUAUCACACAGUUGUUUUCUGUACCUUAUAAAAAUUUAAUUUAGAACUUUGAAUUUUUACCACACUUGAAAAUGGCCUAGGGAAAACAUUUGUUUUAUCAAGUGAAAGUUCUGGUUCUUUUUCUUUUCAUUUUUUAAGAUUUUAUUUGUUUAUUAGAGAGCAGUGUGAGGAGCAAAGAGAGAGGGACAAGCAGACUCCAUGCUGAGGUCAGAGCCCAGAACAGGGCUCAAUCUCACGACCCUGAGGUCAUAACCUAAACCAAAAUCAAAAGUCAGAUGUUUAACCAACUGAGCCACCCAGGAGCCUCAGGAACUUCUAUUCUGAUGUAGUAUUUUUAAGAUGCACACAUGAAUGAUUUACCCUUUCUAUAUUAUUCAAGAGAGAGACAGACCGAGACCACGGGGAGGAGCAGAGGGAGAUGGAUAAACAGACUCUGUGCUGAGUGCAAAGCCUAACGCAGGGCUUGAUUCCAGGACCCCAAGGUGAUGACCUGACCCUAAGCCAAGAGCCAGCUGCUUUACUGACUGAGCCACCCAGGCACCGGAAGACUGAUUUUCUUGUGUAGUGUAUAGAAUAAAAUCUUCUGUUCCAUG